rnacentral:rRNA from 1 species
GGUGAUCUCUGAUGGAGCCUGCCGCGUGAGUGAAGAAGGGUUUCGGCUCGUAAAACUCUGUUGUUAAAGAAGAACACCUUUGAGAGUAACUGUUCAAGGGUUGACGGUAUUUGACCAGAAAGCCACGGCUAACUACGUGCCAGCAGCCGCGG